rnacentral:lncRNA from 1 species
UACAUGUGAAAAAAUAUUUCAAUAUGAAAUAAUCAUCAGAAGAGUAAAUGGUUAAUAUUCGCCCUCGAAUACAAAUCUAUUAGCUUAAGCUUUUGGUUUGUGUGGAUUCCUUGGUACGAGCCUAACAACUUGUUUGUAGCGUCGAUAGUUCGCUGAAACUAGGAUCCUCUUCUGAGCAGCGUUGUGUGAUUGAUCUAUAAUAUAUUUUGAAUAUGUAAUGGA